UUUCUUGAUUGGGUGUUAUACCAAUAUAAUUAGUUCUAUAAUUUGUAUAGAACUUAAGUAUUCAUUAAUUUGUCAUACAUGUUUCAAUAGAAUUCUUAAAAUAAAGUAAGUGCAUAACAUUUCAUUCUUAAUAUCAACAAUGAAUCAUUGGAUUACUGAAUUCUUAUAAUUGUGAUCAACGGGUCUUUUCAUUAUACACGUGGUGCAAUGAAUCAAUGGAUUACUGAACUAAUUCCUCCUCCUGCCCAAAUUCUCAGGCACAAGAUAUUCUUGAAGCUAUAGUACGAGAUUGUUGUAACUUCAAAUUAGCUUCCCUUUGUAUAUCAGCUUGCAUAUCCACAGUUUGUGCCAACUUUGAAAUAGCUUCAAGUAUCUUUGUGUCUUUAGUUGAUUUGGUGGUAGGACUGGAUUUGGGGUGGUUGCCAGGUGGGGCACUGGAUGUUGUAUUUUCGGUGUUGGCACUAGAUGAAGUAUUUUCAGUGUCAGAACUGGAGGAUGUUGUUUGCAGCUUCUUCUGAUGAUACAGCUUUGUCAUUUUAGUUCCUAUGGCACCAGCUGUUCUACCAACUCCUGAUUCAAUCCUAACAAUCUCCCAAUCUUCUUUUGUUGCACCUGGUACUACAAUAUUACGUUUCCUCAUUGCCGCUUUUACCUUAUUAACUUCCCAUGUCUUCCAUUCUUCAGCCACCUUCCUGAAAGAAUUAGAAAGAGUGUUUUAUAUGAGCAUUAUAUUUUCUGCUAAUCAAUAGAAAACAUAAACUUUGCCAAAA